rnacentral:sRNA from 2 species
UUGGACCACGCGUACGUUGUGGUUUCUGCACCAUCCACACCCACCUGACGACUGCUCGCUAGGUGCGUUUGUC